CCUACGGGCGGCAGCAGUGAGGAAUAUUGGUCAAUGGACGAGAGUCUGAACCAGCCAAGUAGCGUGAAGGAUGACUGCCCUAUGGGUUGUAAACUUCUUUUAUAUGGGAAUAAAAUGUUCCACGUGUGGGAUUUUGUAUGUACCAUAUGAAUAAGGAUCGGCUAACUCCGUGCCAGCAGCCGCGGUAAUACGGAGGAUCCGAGCGUUAUCCGGAUUUAUUGGGUUUAAAGGGAGCGUAGGUGGAUUGUUAAGUCAGUUGUGAAAGUUUGCGGCUCAACCGUAGAAGUGCAGUUGAAACUGGGAGUCUUGAGUACAGGAGAGGUGGGCGGAAUUCGUGGUGUAGCGGUGAAAUGCUUAGAUAUCACGAAGAACUCCGAUUGCGAAGGCAGCUCACUGGACUUCAACUGACACUGAGGCUCGAAAGUGUGGGUAUCAAACAGGAUUAGAUACCCCUGUAGUC
rnacentral:rRNA from 1 species